rnacentral:rRNA from 1 species
UACGUAGGGUGCAAGCGUUAAUCGGAAUUACUGGGCGUAAAGCGUGCGCAGGCGGUGAUGUAAGGCAGAUGGGAAAUCCCCGGGCUCAACCUGGGAACUGCAUUUGUGACUGCAAGUCUAGAGUAUGGCAGAGGGAGGUGGAAUUCCAUGUGUAGCAGUGAAAUGCGUAGAGAUAUGGAGGAACACCGAUGGCGAAGGCAGCCUCCUGGGCCAAUACUGACGCUGAGGCACGAAAGCGUGGGGAGCAAACAGG